rnacentral:rRNA from 1 species
UAUCAAUAAGCGGAGGAAAAGAAACUAACAAGGAUUCCCCUAGUAACUGCGAGUGAAGCGGGAAAAGCUCAAAUUUAAAAUCUGGCGGUCUUUGGCCGUCCGAGUUGUAAUCUAGAGAAGUGUUACCCGCGUCGGACCGUGUACAAGUCUCCUGGAAUGGAGCGUCAUAGAGGGUGAGAAUCCCGUCUUUGACACGGACUACCGAGGCUUUGUGGUGCGCUCUCAAAGAGUCGAGUUGUUUGGGAAUGCAGCUCAAAAUGGGUGGUAAAUUCCAUCUAAAGCUAAAUAUUGGCGAGAGACCGAUAGCGAACAAGUACCGUGAGGGAAAGAUGAAAAGAACUUUGGAAAGAGAGUUAAACAGUACGUGAAAUUGCUGAAAGGGAAACGCUUGAAGUCAGUCGCGUUGGCCGGAAAUCAGCCUUGGUUCUCCUUGGUGUAUUUUCUGGUGGACGGGCCAGCAUCAGUUUUGACCGGUGGAAAAAGUUGUAGGGAAUGUGGCAUCUUCGGAUGUGUUAUAGCCUUGCUUCGUAUACAUCGGUUGGGACUGAGGAACUCAGCACGCCGCAAGGCCGGGGUUCGCCCACGUUCGUGCUUAGGAUGCUGGCAUAAUGGCUUUAAUCGACCCGUCUUGAAACACGGACCAAGGAGUCUAACAUGCCUGCGAGUGUUUGGGUGGAAAACCCGGACGCGCAAUGAAAGUGAAAGUCGAGAUCCUUGUCAUGGGGAGCAUCGACGCCCGGACCUGAAGUUUACGGACGGUUCUGCGGUAGAGCAUGUAUGUUGGGACCCGAAAGAUGGUGAACUAUGCCUGAAUAGGGUGAAGCCAGAGGAAACUCUGGUGGAGGCUCGUAGCGAUUCUGACGUGCAAAUCGAUCGUCAAAUUUGGGUAUAGGGGGCGAAAGACUAAUCGAACCAUCUAGUAGCUGGUCCUGC